rnacentral:misc_RNA from 1 species
AAGUCGUAACAAGGUUUCCGUAGGUGAACCUGCGGAAGGAUCAUUAAAAAUUAGCACCUGACUUAUGGGGAUACAUAUAUUUUUGUGGGCAGGAGUGAAAACACCUCUCAUAACUGUAUAUGCCCCAGAAGCAGGAACGCUUACCAACCACUUGUGAAUCUGUAAAUUAUAUUUUUUUACCAACUGACUGUUAACGAAGUCUGAUUCAAACAACUUGUCGGUGCUUAAAGGCACCAAUACAAUUAUUGAAACAACUUUUGGCAACGGAUCUCUUGGCUCUC